CCCAUUUCACUAUUGUUCGCAUAAUUGUCGUUUGUGCCACUUCGAUGUAAAAAAUAUUGAGUUUAAUAUGCGUCGUAGAAGAUAUUUAAAAAAGAGAAAUAUUGCAAGAAAAGCAGAAUAUAAUUGAAAGCAAGUGAAACUUUCUGGAAAUAAGAGAUGAAAUUUCUACAAAAGGAAGAGACAGAGAGGGAGAGAAACAUUUGGAGUGGUUCCGCGGUGGUGAACGGCGACGACGACCGCAAAUUCUAUUUGGCCCAAUGGAAAACGCACACCGUAUGUCGCGAGGGGUUGCAACUCACUGCUUUCAUCCUGUAACCUUCCUUAUUUCCUUGGUUGCGCACUAGUCGCUGGAUUCUAAUGGAUUCCCGGCCCGUAAAUCCUACCGCUAGGAAACCAUCUCUCCCUCCUGCAUCGAUUACCAUCGGAAAUAUUUUUGGAAAUAACAGUUUGAAGAUAAACAGAUCAAUGAAAAUGUCCAUGUUUUUUUUAAGAGAAUUAUAAUUGCAAAUUUCGAAAGAAAUUUAAAUAUGACUUGAAUUUUAUUGUGCGGAUAUUCAGAAAGAAAAUAGAAAUCUUCAAUACGACUAUAAAUUUAAAUAAUAUUUCAUUAUCGAAAUAAAAUCAAUUUUCAAGUGUCAUGUGUAAUCUAAAAACAGGAUAUUUCUUGAGAAGAUUCUUGAAAAUUCUAUCUCAUUCGUGGCUAAUUCACAGUAAAGCACUCCGCAAAAUUUUGUCCAUUUCUCCUGAAAAUCCUGUCCACGUUUCGACGAGUUCCGGCCAAUAGUCCCCGAAAUUUCAUCUUGCCUCGACCAAAUUCCAUGUGUACGUCUCUAUGUACAGAGAUUGUCGCAACAAUCGGAAGAAAGAGGCCGGUAGCAGGUGGUUCGCCCUCGGUUUUAUGAGCGGUCGCCAAAGGGCAGUAUACCGGAUGUCGUUUACAUGCGAAUCGCUCAUCGGGGAGAAACUCUAGCUUGGAUAAACUCUGGAUUUAAAUGGGCCCGCAAUUUAUGCUAACUCACCGAUUCGACGUCCUUCGUUGAACGUCGAUGACGAGAAACGAAUAGAGGUUGGUGGAGAGCUCCGAUUCGAAUCUCCUGCCCCAUUUCUUUUUAUUUUUCUUCGUUUCUUUGUUCGGUUUCAGAGAUUCAUUUAGGGAGAUUUUUUGUACAUAUGAUAUUGAUAUAUAAUUCAGUUUGUUUUUGAUAAGAAAAUUAUAGAGAUUGAUUUUAUUAAUCCAAAUUGAAUAAGUUUGAUUCUAAUGGCAUGGAUCAGUUUUGAUCUAUUAAAUGA